ACAUGAAUGGUGAAACGGUAUCAUGCUUGCCUUCCAUGAGCGACAGCAAGCGGCCGGGGUUCGACUCCCCGUUCAUGUA